rnacentral:rRNA from 1 species
CGUCAAAUCAUCAUGCCCCUUAUGUUCUGGGCUACACACGUGCUACAAUGGGUAUAACAACGGGAAGCAAGCUGGUGACAGUAAGCAAAUCCCUAAAAAGUACUCUCAGUUCAGAUUGUAGGCUGCAACUCGCCUACAUGAAGUUGGAGUUGCUAGUAAUCGCGAAUCAGAAUGUCGCGGUGAAUACGUUCCCGGGCCUU